rnacentral:lncRNA from 1 species
CGCAUCCCUGAACCUCAACAGUGGCUCCAGUGGAGCCUCAGAUCAGGACACACUGGCCCCACUGCCCCACCCAUCUGUACCCUGGCCCUUGGGUCAAGGCUAUCCCUACCAGUACCCAGGACCCCCGCCCUGCUUCCCACCUGCUUACCAGGACCCUGGCUUCAGCUAUGGCAGUGGCAGUGCUGGGAGUCAGCAGAGUGAAGCCUUAGACUGAAGGACUAGCAGAGUGGACCCUCGGGCCGGGAGCAAGAGCAGUGGGUCCACAAGGAGCAGCCAUCGGACCCCAGGCCGAGAGGAGCGCCGGGCAACUGGAGCUGGGGGUAGUGGCAGUGAAUCAGACCACACAGUACCAAGUGGGUCUGGUAGCACUGGCUGGUGGGAGCGGCCUGUCAGCCAGCUUAGCCGUGGCAGUAGCCCUCGAAGUCAGGCUUCAGCUGUUGCCCCAGGGCUCCCUCCACUGCACCCCCUUACCAAGGCCUAUGCAGUAGUGGGUGGGCCACCUGGAGGGCCACCUGUCCGGGAGCUGGCUGCUGUUCCUCCAGAACUUACAGGUAGCCGCCAGUCCUUCCAAAAGGCCAUGGGAAACCCCUGUGAGUUCUUUGUGGACAUCAUGUGAUGAUCAACCAGUGUCUUCAGUGCUGCCUGUGGCGAGAGUCUGUGUUCCUGCUGUGCCAGGAGCUCUAUGGGCUUGCCUUAGUGGUGGCCGGCCAGGAUAGGUCAGUCGUAGGGUCUGGGCCAGGGCAGAGGGAGCAGGCAACAGAAGAAGGGCUGAGGGCAGCCAUACGACCAAGAUAUCAGCUUGAUAUUUUGUCUGCUCUUGGGGCUGCUGGUGGUGGUGCAGCUCAAGUAUCUGUAGUCU